AGUGAACGCUGGCGGCAGGCCUAACACAUGCAAGUCGAGCGGCAGCGCGUCCGACCACCCUCGGGUGGUCGGAUGGCGGCGAGCGGCGGACGGGUGAGGAAUGCAUCGGAAUCUGCCUCGUUGUGGGGGAUAACGUAGGGAAACUUACGCUAAUACCGCAUACGACCUACGGGUGAAAGUGGGGGACCUUCGGGCCUCACGCGAUGAGAUGAGCCGAUGCCGGAUUAGCUAGUUGGCGGGGUAAAGGCCCACCAAGGCGACGAUCCGUAGCUGGUCUGAGAGGAUGAUCAGCCACACUGGGACUGAGACACGGCCCAGACUCCUACGGGAGGCAGCAGUGGGGAAUAUUGGACAAUGGGGGAAACCCUGAUCCAGCUACGCCGCGUGGGUGAUGAAGGCCUUCGGGUUGUAAGACCCGUGUCGAGGGGGACGGAAGUUCGUGACGGUACCCUCCAAGAAAGCACCGGCUAACUCCGUGCCAGCAGCCGCGGU
rnacentral:rRNA from 1 species